ACCACGAUAGCUCAGCUGGUAUAACAUCUACCCGGUAUGCAGAGGGUUGCCGGUUCGUUUCCGGCUCGAGGUG
rnacentral:tRNA from 1 species